rnacentral:rRNA from 1 species
CCUACGGGUGGCAGCAGUCGAGAAUCAUUCACAAUGGGGGAAACCCUGAUGGUGCGACGCCGCGUGGGGGAAUGAAGGUCUUCGGAUUGUAAACCCCUGUCAUGUGGGAGCAAAUUAAAAAGAUAGUACCACAAGAGGAAGAGACGGCUAACUCUGUGCCAGCAGCCGCGGUAAUACAGCGGUCUCAAGCGUUGUUCGGAAUCACUGGGCGUAAAGCGUGCGUAGGCUGUUUCGUAAGUCGUGUGUGAAAGGUGCGGGCUCAACCCGCUGACGGCACAUGAUACUGCGAGACUAGAGUAAUGGAGGGGGAAGCGGAAUUCUCGGUGUAGAAGUGAAAUGCGUAGAUAUCGGGAGGAACACUCGUGGCGAAGGCGGGUUCCUGGACAUUAACUGACGCUGAGGCACGAAGGCCAGGGGAGCGAAAGGGAUUAGAUACCCGUGUAGUC